CAGGGGUAAACCUGAGAAACCCGAAAGAUCGAAUGGGGAGAUUCAUCGUCAGCGAUUCUGGUACGUGUGCGGUUCGCGAUGUCGGAGACUUCGGUCUCACGGCACGCGUCCGCAUGUUUUUUAUUGCCGGAGUCGUCGGCGUGCACUUCUCCCCUAGUAGGACGUCGCGACCCGUUGGGUGUCGGUCUACGGCACGGUAGGGCAGCCUGUCUCGUGUGGCGCUUCACGGCGUUCACCGCGGGGCAGACCUCCGUCCGCCCGACCGACUGCUCGGCGGUACUCGCAUGAUAUCUAGUCGCAGCCAUUCGAACUGCGUCCGGCCCGUCGCAAGCGAGGCAAGUGUCCCGGCUGUACGGAUCUGAUGCCGUCAUCGGGCCUUGCCAGCUGUUGGCUGACGGUGUCCUAGGACAGGCUAACAAAAUUAUGAUAUCGGUCAGCGACGCUACUGCUUUGGGUACUUUCAGGACCCGUCUUGAAACACGGACCAAGGAGUCUAACAUGUGCGCGAGUCAUUGGGACUUGUAAGCCUAAAGGCGCAAUGAAAGUAAAGGUCGGCCUCGCGCCGACCGAGGGAGGAUGGGCCGCGUCACGAUGCGGUCUCGCACUCCCGGGGCGUCUCGUUCUCAUUGCGAGAAGAGGCGCACCCAGAGCGUACACGUUGGGACCCGAAAGAUGGUGAACUAUGCCUGGUCAGGACGAAGUCAGGGGAAACCCUGAUGGAGGUCCGUAGCGAUUCUGACGUGCAAAUCGAUCGUCGGAACUGGGUAUAGGGGCGAAAGACUAAUCG
rnacentral:rRNA from 1 species